rnacentral:rRNA from 1 species
UACGAAGGGGGCUAGCGUUGCUCGGAAUCACUGGGCGUAAAGGGUGCGUAGGCGGGUCUUUAAGUCAGGGGUGAAAUCCUGGAGCUCAACUCCAGAACUGCCUUUGAUACUGAGGAUCUUGAGUUCGGGAGAGGUGAGUGGAACUGCGAGUGUAGAGGUGAAAUUCGUAGAUAUUCGCAAGAACACCAGUGGCGAAGGCGGCUCACUGGCCCGAUACUGACGCUGAGGCACGAAAGCUAGGGGAGCAAACAGGAGUUAGAAACCCUAUGAG